GACGAACCGUGCGAACGUUGUUCGGAAUCACUGGGCUUAAAGGGCGCGUAGGCGGUUUGUCGCGUCUGCUGUGAAAACUCGGGGCUUAACUCCGGGCCUGCAGUGGGUACGGGCAGACUAGAGUGCGGUAGGGGAGACUGGAAUUCCUGGUGUAGCGGUGAAAUGCGCAGAUAUCAGGAGGAACACCGGUGGCGAAGGCGGGUCUCUGGGCCGUAACUGACGCUGAGGAGCGAAAGCGUGGGGAGCGAACAGG
rnacentral:rRNA from 1 species